CGUCCUCCUAUAGCUCUUCCCACCAGCCUACUCUGGACCACCAACAUUGCUAUAGAGGAAUGAGAAAUACACACAGUGGUGUGUUGUACCAAACUGUGCCAUUCUAUUUCAGUUUCAGGAAGUGUCCAAAUGCCUACCACUUCUCCAAUCAAUGAUUACCUCACCUGUUCCCUAUUCUCUCCCUCUCACCCUCGUUUAAUUUGAUGUUUCUCCAUUUACCCACAAAGGAAAAACCCUCUUCAACAGGCAGCGAUUUACAUUAAAAUCUAAUCUCUCACAUUUCAGUAAUUUUCUUUGAAGAUUUGGAGCAACAUGUCAUCUGGAUGAAAAGGGGACAGUUGUCAAUGAAUGGGAAGUGUGCUUGGACUGAGUGGACAAGACCGAGAGGCCGGACACGGGAUGCAGAGGGACGGACGGAUGCAAGCUUUUUUUUCUCUGAAGACGUCCUUCGAAACAAGGCCGGUGGUAGCUGGUCCACUCCAGGAGAAUGAGGUACG